UUUAAAAAAUCUUUUUAACGUCGUCAGCAAAACACUAAACCCUAAAUCCUAAUCCUUAAAUCCUAAAUCCUAAACCCUAAACCCUUGGGUAAACCCUAAACCCUUGGGUAAACUCUAAACCCUUGGGUAAACUCUAAACCCUUGGGUAAACCCUAAAACCUUGGAUAAAUCUUAAACUCUAAAUAAAAAUACUAAACCCUAAAACUCUAAACCCUAAAUCCUAAACCCUAAACCCUUGGGUAAACCCUAAAACCUUGGAUAAAUCUUAAACUCUAAAUAAAAAUACUAAACCCUAAAACUCUAAACCCUAAAUCCUAAACCCUAAACCCUUGAGUGUUUUAGUGUUUAGUGAUUUUUAUUUAGAGUUUAAGAUUUAUCCUAGAGUUUAAAAUUUAUCC
rnacentral:lncRNA from 1 species